rnacentral:rRNA from 1 species
AGACUGGGAUAACUCCGGGAAACCGGGGCUAAUACCGGAUGCUUGAUUGAACCGCAUGGUUCAAUCAUAAAAGGUGGCUUUUAGCUACCACUUACAGAUGGACCCGCGGCGCAUUAGCUAGUUGGUGAGGUAACGGCUCACCAAGGCGACGAUGCGUAGCCGACCUGAGAGGGUGAUCGGCCACACUGGGACUGAGACACGGCCCAGACUCCUACGGGAGGCAGCAGUAGGGAAUCUUCCGCAAUGGACGAAAGUCUGACGGAACAACGCCGCGUGAGUGAUGAAGGUUUUCGGAUCGUAAAACUCUGUUGUUAGGGAAGAACAAGUACCGUUCGAAUAGGGCGGGACCUUGACGGGACCUAACCAGAAAGCCACGGCUAACUACGUGCCAACAGCCGCGGUAAUACGUAGGUGGCAAGCGUUGUCCGGAAUUAUUGGGCGUAAAGGGCGCGCAGGCGGUUUCUUAAGUCUGAUGUGAAAGCCCCCGGCUCAACCGGGGAGGGUCAUUGGAAACUGGGGAACUUGAGUGCAGAAGAGGA